GCUGAACACGCCAGUUUCAAAGGAUGGAGUUGGCCGCAGCUAUACCAAACAGUUUUAAAAGAAAAUGAACAGUCCGCUGUUAGUCUCUAACCAGGCGGGGGUCUGUUACCCAACCCAGCCACUCUGUUUCUGUUUGACUGGCUCACCAGCAAGUCCCAAGGAUCCAACUGUCUCUUCCUUCACGUAGCGGGUUACAGCCAGAAAUGAUGGAAAGUGGUCAAAGAAUUGGCAAGUGGAGCCACAGAAGUGAGAGAGAAAAUAAAAGUAUCUACCUUGAAGACUACAAGGACGUUUGGACAGAUAGACAUCUAAAGAAGGGAGAACUGUUGGGGGGUGGGGGGGGAAUCACCAAGAAAAGAAACAAUCUGCGACCUCUAAAGUCUCCAAAAGGAUGAUGCGGCACCACAACAACAAUUCUACUUGGAUCACAAUAUCUUCACAGGACUGGGCCAACAGUUCAAGAAGUAACUUUGGGGAUGACAUCCACAUUUCUAAGAGGCAGGGAAAAUGGUAUUUGAUCAUUUGGUGAGUUAUGGAUGCUUGCCAUCAUUUAUGGAAGUUAUUUAUUAAUUGUUACUGGUAUUGGCAAGGAAGGAAAUUAUGCAAAUGAUAUUGCAUUCAGGGAUCUCUUUGAAAAAAAAAAAAGAAAAAAAAAGAAGUAGCCAGAGAAGGAGGAGGACUCCAGUGGCCAACCACCCAGCUACACAACCAGCAACAGAGUAAGAAAGAAAGGUAUUAAAAAAAAAGAGAGAGAGAAAGGUAAAAAGCCCAGAGACAAAAGACAGACAGGUUAAUUUAAAUUAAGAAAAACUGGCAAGAAACAGGCCAAGCUAAGGUAAGGCAUUCAUAAUUAAGAAUAAGCCUCCAUGUGUGAUUUACUUGGGAGCUGGGUGGUGGGCCCCCACCAAAAGAAACAAAGAGUUAAAAAAAAAAACAAACAACAGCAUUCUGGAUUUGGCUGAUCUAGCUCUGUGUGCAUUUAAUAGCUGAUAUGUUCUGCAGUCUGGUUGUUCAGUGGCUUGGUCAGUACCACCUCAACUUGAUAAGCCUGGAAUCCUGAAAUCCUCUUUUACUUUUCUUUUUACCUUGUAAAUUUUAUAUAUUGACUUAUGAUGCUAAGA